rnacentral:rRNA from 1 species
AUUCCAGCUCCAAUAGCGUAUAUUAAAGUUGUUGCAGUUAAAAAGCUCGUAGUUGAAUUUGUGGAGGUUUCCAUGGUCCAAAAUGUUUUGGUACUGUUGGGAGCAGCCAUCCUUGGGUGGAACCUAUGAGGCAUUAGGUUGUUUUGUGGGGGAUGCCCAUCGUUUACUGUGAAAAAAUUAGAGUGUUCAAAGCAGGCUUAUGCCAUUGAAUAGAUUAGCAUGGAAUAAUGAGAUAGGACUUUGGUACUAUUUUGUUGGUUUGUGCACCAGAGUAAUGAUUAAUAGGGACAGUUGGGGGUAUUCGUAUUCCAUUGUCAGAGGUGAAAUUCUUGGAUUUUUGGAAGACGAACUACUGCGAAAGCAUUUACCAAGGAUGUU